rnacentral:lncRNA from 1 species
GUUGGAAAGAGAUAAGAGAGAGACCUUGGGGAACAAUUUUAAAGUGGCUCAAUAGCGAUCGCAGAGCCAAACUCAUACCUACAUCAAUGUGGUGCAGAGAAUCUCUAAGAAUUUUUAAUGCUGAAUUGGAGCAAAGAAACUUCAAGGAGGAAGCAAAGUGAAGAACACAGAUUUCACAGAUGGGAUGCCUGGCUCAAAUUCCAGCUUGACCGCUGGUAGCUGUGUGACCCUCGGCAAGUUACUUGACCUCUCUCUACUCAGUGUCCUCAUCUGUCAGAUUUUGAUAUCUGACUGAUGCUGUCUUCGUGGAAUGAGUUAGGAAAGAGUCCCUCCACGUCAACUGUUUGGAAUAUAUUCAGCAGGAUUGGUAUCAUUGCAUGUCUGGCAGAAUUUGACUAGGAAUCCAUCUGGUCCAGGACUUUUUUGUUGAAAUGCGUAAAUGGCGACAGUAGAGCCAGCCUUCAUGAAUCCAGAAAUGUGAGCCACAUUUUGAGGAUAGCAGAGUCACUGCAGAAGCCUGGAUCCUUGCAUAACCUUGUCGAGUGGGAAAAUCUACCCAUACUUGACCAACCACCUAACUGGGGGCUCUACAUCUGAAAGAAAUGAUUUUUUAUCUUAUUUAAGCCACUGUAGUUAGGAGUCAGUUUAUUACAGGACAUUGCCUGGUGUUCCAAC